rnacentral:rRNA from 1 species
UACGGAGGAUCCAAGCGUUUAUCCGGAAUCAUCGGGUUUAAAGGGUCCGUAGGCGGUUUAAUAAGUCAGUGGUGAAAGCCCAUCGCUCAACGGUGGAACGGCCAUUGAUACUGUUAAACUUGAAUUAUUAGGAAGUAACUAGAAUAUGUAGUGUAGCGGUGAAAUGCUUAGAGAUUACAUGGAAUACCAAUUGCGAAGGCAGGUUA